GAUGAACGCUGGCGGCGUGCCUAAUACAUGCAAGUCGAACGGAGAAUUUAGCAAUAAGUUCUUAGUGGCGAACGGGUGAGUAACGCGUUGGUGACCUGCCCCAAAGUGCGGGAUAACAGAUCGAAAGGUCUGCUAAUACCGCAUGUGGUCGUGAAGGUUAGAGGCUUCACGACUAAAGGAGUAAUCCGCUUUGGGAGGGGCCUGCGUCCCAUCAGCUUGUUGGUAGGGUAAUGGCCUACCAAGGCGAAGACGGGUAGGGGACCUGAGAGGGUGACCCCCCACACUGGCACUGAAACACGGGCCAGACACCUACGGGUGGCAGCAGUAGGGAAUAUUGCACAAUGGGCGAAAGCCUGAUGCAGCAACGCCGCGUGCGCGAUGAAGGCCUUCGGGUCGUAAAGCGCUUUUCGGGGAG
rnacentral:rRNA from 1 species